CCUACGGGUCGCACCAGUGGGGAAUUUUGGACAAUGGGCGCAAGCCUGAUCCAGCCAUGCCGUGUGAGUGAAGAAGGCCUUAGGGUUGUAAAGCUCUUUCACCGGUGAAGAUAUUGACGGUAACCGGAGAAGAAGCCCCGGCUAACUUCGUGCCAGCAGCCGCGGUAAUACGAAGGGGGCUAGCGUUGUUCGGAAUUACUGGGCGUAAAGCGCGCGUAGGCGGAUAAAUAAGUCAGAGGUGAAAUCCCGGGGCUCAACCCCGGAAUUGCCUUUAAUACUGUUUAUCUUGAGUGCAGAAGAGGUAAGUGGAAUUCCGAGUGUAGAGGUGAAAUUCGUAGAUAUUCGGAGGGACACCAGUGGCGAAGGCGGCUUACUGGUCUGCAACUGACGCUGAGGCGCGAAAGCGUGGGGAGCAAACAGGAUUAGAUACCCCAGUAGUC
rnacentral:rRNA from 1 species